rnacentral:rRNA from 1 species
AUGGCCAGCAAGUCAAGGCAGGUUCCGACCGUGGUCGCCCUCGUACGUCAGUUGGCGGCGUCGGAGCGGUGUCGGAGCCAAGUGCUGGGCAUGUCGCCGAGACUGACCAAGACGCCGCGGCUGCAAGUGCUGGGCAUGUCGCCGAGAAGACCAACAAGCAGUACCAGCUCUGAGUUCCCAAAAUGCCUGACUCCAACGGCAACAACAUGCAUCACAAGGAGGAUGAUGGCCUCUUCACCGACUCCGACCCCAUCCUCCCUGACGCCUGGUCGUGGCCCUAUGCACGAUAGCGCCCUCCCUCUUCUACUUCUACUACCUACUGUUGCUGCUGUUGCUGAUUGGUCUAUGCACGGUGGGUAA